UGCCAAAGUUCAGCAUCCCUUGGGGCGCCCAGUUUUGAUGAGCUGAUGGAACAGCCCGAGCCUUUUCCCACUUCCAUAGGUGUGUGGGAUCACACUGCAUCUUGCAGCACAUCUCAGCAGAGUGUGGUGACACAGGUCAGCUCACCCCCCAACGCACCAGGACACCGAAACAGAAGCAGGAAGGAACAAAUAGCCAGAACACAGAGAGCGUUCGUGGAGCAGCGGUCAGGCUCUCCGAUGUCACCUGCAGGAAUUCUGCUGCGGAUGAAUAAAUGGAAUGACAUGAUCUCAGAUAGUGCUGCCUGGAGGCCACCACCGAGAGAGAGCUCCUGGCUCUUGACCCAAGUGCUGAGCAAGUGCAACUGGAGAACCCUCCGCUGCCCAGAAGUGCUUACGAUCUGCAGCGCUUGGGAACACGUGGAGAGAUUAACUCGAAUUCAUACAGCGGAUCAGCAGGCAAGUUGGGAUCAACUCCACGUCUCCCAGUCUGAUUUCAGUAGCCUACCCCCUAAAAUGCACCAAUUCCACUGUCUCAAAGCUUUUCUGUGAUUCCUCUCCAUUCCACAGCCUCCUCUGGAUGCCCACUGCACAUUCCCCUCUGCAAACACACCCAGUUGCGCCUGUUGCAAUGGAAUAUUUUCUUUAUGAUACUUGUACAUGGCUCUGCUUUCUUACAGAAACACCUACAUGUCAAAAAAUUAUGGAAGAGAAACCCAUGACUCCCAUGCGAGCUGUGUCAAACAUUCAUAUUUUGGUGUUAAUCAAACUGCAGUCUUGUCAUGAUGUUCUCCUCAUUAUUUUAGCAUCAGUUUUACAUAUUGCUGUAUAAAGGAUCAUUAUGUGUCUUUGGAGAGAGAGAGAAAUAUAUUUUUGAUGAUACAUUUUUAAAUGUCUACAACUGUACAUUUCCACACUGAAUCAGGAAAGUACACAGCGUUCUUCAAGCCCAACUCUUGUGCUUCACUAGCUAUUAUAGGAUCUGCAUAUACACAGAAUAGACAUACAUAUAGCAUUAUAUAUCUGCAUAUACACUUAGAAGUGCAGAAAAAAUCCCAUGCAGUUCUCAUUUAUACUCUCAAUGACCAAGCUGAGAAAUAAAACAUCUUGCCUCAUCA
rnacentral:lncRNA from 1 species